AUGAGCCAUUGCGCCCAGCCCAUGCUUACUAAUCAUCUUCCAUACCCCAGGCUCUAUGCUGGGGUUUGGGAACAUGCCUACUAUUAACAUAUGGUCCCUUCUCUCAGGGAGCCUGCAUCCUGUUGAGCUAAGUCACACAAACGCAAACUGUGGUGCCCAAGGAGAAGAAAAGGUGCUGAACUGUGCCUCAGAACAGGGGCAUGGUGACCCUGCCUGUAGGAGAGGAGUCUGCCAGGAUGAGGACGGGAGGGGUCUUACUCUCCUGCAAGAGACCACCCCUGGGGAUGAAGGACACCAGCCCUCCGGUGGCAUCAGUGCCAGAGGGGUCAGAGCACAGGGCUUCCACUGUUGCCUCUGCCAUCGCCUGCCUCCAGGUAAGUUCUUGCAGUUUUCUGAGCCUCCGUUUGCUGACCUGUAAAAUGAGGCUACUGAGCUGCUCUUAGGAUUUCGGGAUGAAGGCGCCAUCGCAGAACUGCAUUCCCUCUCCCUCCAGCUCCAAAAACUGAAUUCCGCCAAGGCAUAGAGCAGCUCUUAAGCCCAAGUUCACUGGGAUCACUACUGAAAGUGACAGGAGGCAGCCAAGUGUCUAGGCAGAUAGGACAGGUCCCAGUGAAACCCCACCUUCAAGCCAAAAAUAGCCCGAAAGCUGAAAGAUCAGACUGCUGGUCCUGGAGGAAACCCACCACCCAGAGUGAGAACUUCUGUUCCUGUUUGCCCACCCUUUCCUGGUUGAUUCUUUCUGAACAAUGCCUUUUAACCAGUCGAAUGUUGCCCUUUCCGAUACUAUCUAUGACCUGCCCCUCCCCUAUUCUGAGCCUAUAAAAUGUCCUGGACCCAGCUACACGAGGAGG
rnacentral:lncRNA from 1 species